AGCACCUGCCUUUCAGGCAUCCUCUCCUAAAACUUUCCCGGCCGGUCCUCGUGAUCGGCCUUUUUUUUGUGCAGU
rfam:Sphingomonas sp. 67-41 SCNpilot_cont_300_bf_scaffold_32, whole genome shotgun sequence.